GAUGAACGCUGGCGGCGUGCUUAACACAUGCAAGUCGAACGGAGUUACAUGAAACCUAGUGAUUGUAACUUAGUGGCGGACGGGUGAGUAACGCGUGGGUAACCUGGCGUAUACAGGGGGAUAACACUUAGAAAUAGGUGCUAAUACCGCAUAAGCGCACGAAUUCGCAUGAGUUUGUGUGAAAAACUAAGGUGGUAUACGAUGGACCCGCGUCUGAUUAGCUAGUUGGUGAGGUAACGGCCCACCAAGGCGACGAUCAGUAGCCGGCCUGAGAGGAUGAACGGCCACAUUGGGACUGAGACACGGCCCAGACUCCUACGGGAGGCAGCAGUGGGGAAUCUUCCGCAAUGGACGAAAGUCUGACGGAGCAAUGCCGCGUGAGUGAUGAAGGUUUUCGGAUCGUAAAGCUCUGUUGAGAGGGACGAGAGAUAUAAUCAGGAAAUGGGUUAUAGAGGACGGUACCUUUCGAGGAAGCCACGGCUAACUACGUGCCAGCAGCCG
rnacentral:rRNA from 1 species